rnacentral:rRNA from 1 species
ACGCUGGCGGCGUGCUUAACACAUGCAAGUCGAACGGUGAAGGGGAGCUUGCUCCCCGGAUCAGUGGCGAACGGGUGAGUAACACGUGGGCAACCUGCCCCAGACUUCGGGAUAACGCUUCGAAAGAGGUGCUAAUACCGGAUACGAACUCCUUGGGCAUCCCGGGAGUUGGAAAGUUUUUUCGGUCUGGGAUGGGCCCGCGGCCUAUCAGCUUGUUGGUGAGGUAACGGCUCACCAAGGCGACGACGGGUAGCCGGCCUGGGAGGGCGACCGGCCACACUGGGACUGAGACACGGCCCAGACUCCUACGGGAGGCAGCAGUGGGAAUAUUGCGCAAUGGGCGAAAGCCUGACGCAGCAACGCCGCGUGAGGGAUGACGGCCUUCGGGUUGUAAACCUCUUUCAGCAGGGAAGAAGCGAAAGUGACGGUACCUGCAGAAGAAGCACCGGCUAACUACGUG